ACAAUGACGAAGACAAUAAAUGAGAAGAUGGAGAAGGACAAAACUGGGAUUCAGAAGGUUCAGCAGGUAUGCCACCAGAGGAUGCGCACCUAACCACCAGGUACCUUACCUGUGAGGCUAAUACAAGUUCCCUGAGUUUUCCCAACUCCAGAGAAAACAUAUCAGGA